CUCUGGCUGCAGCAUCACCUGACACGGGGUUCCUGUCUGAUACUGUAUCUAACUCAGCAAUCACUGCACAACUUACCGUCUUGCUACAUACAUUUUGGUGGCGGACCGUGGUCCGCGCCCGGGCUGAGUUCUGUGUCAGCAUCUGAACGUCCUUCUCCUGGCUCGCAUUCUUCUAGCCGGCUGAGAGGUUGUCAGGAUCCUGGGUCAAGAGUGGUCCAGCAGGGACAGGUCCAUGGUGAGACUGGCUGUACUGCAUCUGGAGCAUCCUUCUGGUGGCAUCAAGGGAGACGCUGGUCCCAGGUGCAGCCUCCAAAAGAAAAAAAGAAGAAAAAAAAGAACAAGAAAGAAAGAAGCUUUGGGAAGAGACAGAGGAGUCAACGGUAGUAAGGGUUGCUGCAGGCAUUUGGACGUGACGUGGAGAUCGAGGCUUCUCUCUCCUUUGUGGAGGAAAGGAGGCUUUGGGGAGCAGAGAGGGAGAGUUGAGCUGGAUCUGGACACGGUUUCACAUCCCGGGAACUGUUGGCGUUUUGGACCAGAUCAUUCUGAGCCAUGGGGACUGUCCUGCGUUGUGGGGUGUGGAGCAGAUCCUUGGCCCCUGGUCACUAGAUGACAAGGAUGGCAGCCGCCUCUCUCCAGGCCGUAUCAAUAAAGGUGCCUCCAGGAGUUCCCUGGUGGCCUAG
rnacentral:lncRNA from 1 species